rnacentral:rRNA from 1 species
AGUGAAUAGAUACCCUGGUAGUCCACGCCCUAAACGAUGAACACUAGUCGUCGCUCUGCUAGUCAGGGCGGUGAUGCACUUAACAGGUUAAGUGUUCCGCCUGGGGAGUACGGUCGCAAGAUUAAAACUCAAAGGAAUAGACGGGGGACCCGCACAAGUGGUGGAGCAUGUGGUUUAAUUCGAAGAUACGCGAAAAACCUUACCUGGCCUUGACAUUGAUAGAAUCCUGUAGAGAUACGGGAGUGCCCUCGGGUAGCUUGAAAACAAGGUGCUGCACGGCUGUCGUCAGCUCGUGUCGUGAGAUGUUGGGUUAAGUCCCGCAACGAGCGCAACCCUCGUCCUUACGUUGCCAGCAGGUUAAGCUGGGCACUCUAGGGAGACUGCCUUCGCAAGGAGGAGGAAGGUGAGGACGACGUCAAGUCAUCAUGGCCCUUACGGCCAGGGCUACACA